rfam:Oryza glumipatula chromosome 3, whole genome shotgun sequence.
AAUAAGUUCAUUUAUAUGUUUAUGUGUGCAAUGUUUGAUCGUCCGUCUUAUUUACUCUUUUUAUGAAUUACUAGUAUUUUUAUUGUUAUUAGAUGAUAAGAUAUAAAUAGUACUUUAUGCAUGACUUGUUUUUUAAAAAUUUUCAGAUAAGACGGACGGUCAAAAGCUAGAUAGAGAAACCCACCAAUAAACUUAUU